UCUUCGAUCUUACUCAUCGUAAAGCGAAUGAGUGGGAUGGUUUUCAUAACAAAACAUGACUCUUCGUAGAAUUAAGGACAAACAUCAUAAGCUGCAUUCUUUCCUUGGAUUGUCCUACCUAAUUUACACCUAAGCUUCAACAAACCCCAAACUAUUUCAAUAUUCUCCAUGUAAAGGAAUACCUACAAUGUUUGUCCUCAAACAUAUCCUUAAAACUUGCUGGUUGGAAUGUGAAAUGGUUUUAAAACAAUGUAACUCAUUAAAGUUUGGUAGAUCAUUUAAA